rnacentral:lncRNA from 1 species
AUAUCAUCGGAACUUUAAUCAUUCCUUACAUUUAAUGUGCUGCUAGAAACCCCAGACAUGCUUUCUACCUGCUUAGCCCCUCAAACUAUUUACCCCUCCAGACCUAUAUUUUUCUUUGUACUCCAUACAGUCCCUGGCAUAAACACUCCCUGUAAUACACCAAAUGAACAUGUCUUCUUGUUUCUAAGUUUUUGAGCAUGUUAUUACCUCUACCUAAAAUAACAUGGAUAAUUCCUACUCACAAUUCAUCUCUGACAAAACUUCCUUGUGUUGUCAAGACCAUUUCUGGUCCCCCUUAUAAAUCACCUGGUAAUAGGUAUCCCUAUCAGAAACACUGUAUUGUAAUUACCUUGUCAAGUUUCCCCACGGUGAUUUUCUUCACCAUCUUUCCCUAGAAUGGAGCACAGCAACUGGCACAUUAUAAAUAGUCAAAAAUAUGGACAGAUUUUUUUUACUAAUUUACUAAGUGAAGUCUUAUAUUUGAGGACUUUGAUAUAUCAGAAAAUAUCAAGCCUGAACAUGAAGCCAAAAAUAUAAAUCAAUCUCUUCUCACAGACUCUAUUCUUGAACAAUAAAUUUAGAAACUCUCUCAGCAUUUUUGAUAAUAAUGCCACCUAACAAACCACACCAAAGCUGAAUGGCUUAAAAUAGCAAGACCUUAUUUCCCCUUCAUGAGCUUGGAGGUCAGCUUCCACUCAUCUUGGCUAAGCUGGACUCCAGGCUCUAGAAUCUGGGAUCUAGGUUGGGUUCUGAUGUGCUACACAUCAUUUUCACACUCUCUGGACUAUUUUCUUCUCCUGAUGAAUGCCAAUCCAAACCACAUGAGUGUAAUUAAGGACUCUACCUGUGUCACUCUAAUAAUUUAACAAGCCUAAUAUCAACAGUGCAAGGGAGUUUACUCUUCCCACAGCAGGAGUGGCAAGGGAAUUAAUAUUUGCUGAACAGUAAUCUAAACCAUCAUAAAUCCUGCUAAAGAAUACUGGAAAGAAUAGACACUAAGCUUUCUCUACUAUAAAAAGCAGUAAAUAGACAAAAUCCAACAGCUCUUAUAUAGUAAUGCUCUUGGCAUUGUUUUGACUCUCAAUUCCCAGUUUGUUCAUGGGGGACUCCUUGGCAUGCUAGUGAAGUGAUGAAAACAAAGGUUUUCUCAGAGUACACAGAGCCUUAAAAAAAAAAACAAACAUAUUGCCUAGAUCUUCAAAUAAUUUCAUCAUCUGAAGUAACAUCAUAUCAUAUAACUCAAAAAUUCUUUGUAGCCAUGUAUUUGAUCUACCUAAUCAAUAUAUAAAGGAAAUUUAAAAAUCAAUACAAGAUUAGAAAAUAUCGAGCCUGAACAUGAAGCCAAAAAUAUAAAUCAAUCUCUUCUCACAGACUCCCCUUUGUAUUUGUCACCCUCAUGUAGUUGAAUUUGUUUCUGAUCCUGUUUGUGAUGAGGGUGAGUAGUAGUGGCGAUGGUUAUUAAUGGCUAAAAAAUUAGGAGAUAUUAUCAUGGCACAUGCCAAAUUAGGUAACUUGUGAUUCAAAAACUAUCUGAAUAUCACAGAUGGAAUCCAUUUUAUUUGUUGAUAAUCAUGAGAUAUCCAUUUAUACCAGAGAAUUACUCUAUCCCUUUGCCAAGGACUCAUCAGGAUAUAAAGAUGAAGGAAAUAUUUUUAAAACUAUACUUAAAAAAAGUAUUGAUUUUUAACUGCAUUGUUACAUGAAAAAAAUGUCCACAUAACAUAUUUGCUAAUUUUUAGAAUAGGAAUCUGUACUAAGAAAACCUACUAAGAGCAUCAACUGGUCAGUUGUCCACCAUGAAGAGUACAGUUCUAGGCCAAAAUAAAUCUAAAAGAUCAGAAAGUCAAUUCUGACAAAGCAGCACUGAAAUUUAAACAAGAUUAAUUUAUUAAGGGAUUAGAGACAAGCAAAUUAAAAUCACGACAAGAUACAAAGUGCUUGCUAUCAAAGAUAUGGAGUAACUAGAGUUUCCAUAAAUAGCUGGUGUGAAGAUAAAUUUGGUACAACUACCUUUGAAAAGGAAUUGGCAGUACCAAUUAAAGUUAAAGAUAGACACACCUUGUGAUUCAGCUAUUAAUACUCCAGGUCAUAGAUCUAACAAAAAUAAGUACUUAUGAGUAGCAGAAAUCAUGCACAAAAAUGUUUACAGCAACAUGUGCAUACUUUCCUCCUGCUGAAAAUCAUUUAUAUAACAAUCAAGAACAGACUGAUCACAGUAUAGUCAUAAAACAGACUGUUAUACAACGGCAAUACCACAAAAAAACACAGUAAUACCACAUAUUGUUAUUUACAACACUGACAUAUCUUGGAAAUAUGAUGUGGAAUUAAAAGCAAAAUAUAAAAGAAUGCAUACAACAUGACUACAUGGAUAUAAUGUUUGAAAAUAGACCAAGCAAAUCUGGUGGGUCAACUCUGAAGGGAGCAUGAAGAGACCUUCUGAGGCACUGAUUAUCUAUUGCUUCAUCUGAAUAGGAAUAAUGGGAACACUCACUUUGUGCUGGCUCAUCAAUGGUGCCUUUAUGGUGCAUGCAUCUUCCUGGAUGAUUGUGUUACUUAAAUAAAAAUCUACUAAUUUAGAAAAAGAACAAAUAAAUAAAAACAACCCCCAAAUAUUACUUUACUGGGUGCUUAUAUGACUUUUCAUUCUCAUAUCUAAUCUGUGAAGCAGGUAUCAUUAUUUCCAAGGUAUAGAAGAUGAAUCUGAGGCUCAGAGAUAUUCUGAAAAUACCUUGUCACUCUCAUAAAAUCUCCCCAAUUCAGAUGCCUGGGUCCUCUCAUUCAAUUUUCUUUCAACAGUUUUCAGAAAAUGAUUUGAUAAAUUUGUGACACAAUGGUGAACUGUAAAUGGAAAGCUCAUAGUUGAAGAAGGGGUGCCAUAAAGAAUGGAUACAGAAGUAAGUUUGAUGAAGAAAAGAAAGAUAAAGACUUUCUUUCCAGUAGACUCCAGUGAAAGAAAAUAAUUUCUUCUCCCCUUUUAAAAUAGUAGAUGUUCAGCUUGUACAGAAUAAGAUGGUGGAAUAGAAGGACUGGAGCUCAACUUCUCUCCUAAAAACAACAAAAUUCACAACUAAAGGCUGAGCAUUCUUCACCCAAAUGGACCAGAAACCUUAAAAAAGAUAUCCUACUCCAGAAGACAAAGAGGAGGCCACAUCAAGAGGUAGGAGGGGCGAUUUUGUGAUAUAAACAACCCCAUACCUCCUGGGUGGGAAGCCCCACAGACUGGAAACUAACUGGUUCACAGAGACUCACCUACAGGAGUGAGAGUUCUGAGCCCCACAUCAAACUCUCACAUGUGGGGAUCUGGCACUGGGAGAAAGAGCCCCUGGAGUAUCUGGCAUUGAAGGCCAGUGGGGUUUGUGCACUGGAGCUCCACAGGACUGGGGGAAGUGGAGACCCCAUUCUUAAAAGGCACACACAGACUUUCACAUGCACUGGGUCCUAGCGCAAAGCAAAGUCUCCAAGGGAAUCUGGGUCAAACCUGACUGCAGUUCUUGGAGGACUUCCUGGGAAAACGGGGGUGAACAUGGCUUGUUGUGAGGGAAGGACAUUGAAAGCAAAGCCCUCAGGAAUAUUCAGCAGCAGGGCCUUUCUCUGGAGGUGGCCAUUUUGGGAAAAUCUGGCCCCACCCAUCAGUCAGUAAUGAAAAGCCCCAGGGCAAACAACAAUCCAGGUGGGAUCACAGCCCAGCCCCUCAAUAAACAGGUUACCUAAAGAACCCUUAGGCACACAGCGGCCUCUAAUCCCAUUCAGAGACUAAGCCCCAUCCACCAGAGGGAUUAGAAUCAGCUCCACCCACCAGUGGGAAGGCAUCAGCCCCUCCCAUCAGGAAGCCUACAGCAAGCCCCCAUACAGACUUCAGCCACAAGGCAGCAGACAUCAGAAGUAAGAGAGACUAAAACUCUAUUAUCUGUAAAAAGUCACCACACCAAAAACCUAUAAAAAUGAAAACACAGAGAACUAUAACUCAGAUGAGGGAGAAAGGAAAAACCCCAGAAAAUCAACUAAGUGAUCAGGAGAUUCUCAGCCUCCAGGAAAAAGACCUUAGACUGUUGAUGCUGAAGAUGAUGCAAGACAUUGGAAAUAAACUGGAGGCAAAGAUGGAUAACUUACAGGAAACACUGGCCAAACAGAUACAAGACAUAAAACUUAAACAAGAAGAGAUGCAAAAUUUUACAAUAACUGAAAUAAAAAAUUCACUAGAAGCAGCUAAGAGCAGAAUACAGGAGGCAGAAGAACGAAUAAGCAAGGUGGAGGACAGAUUAGUGGAAAUCACAGAUGAGGAACAGAAAAGAUAAAAAAGAUUGAAAACAAAUGAAGAGAGUCUCAGAGAACUCUGGGACAACAUUAAAUGCAAAAACAUCUGCAUUAUAGGGGUGCCAGAAGGAGAAGAGAGGGAGAAGGAGACAGAAAAAAUAUUCCAAGGGAUAAUAGCCAAAAAAUCCCUCACAUGAGAAAGGAAUCACUCAAAUCCAGGAAGCACAACGAGUACCAUAUAAAAUAAACCCAAGGAGGAAUACACUGAGACACAUAUUAAUCAAACUAACCAAAAUUAAAGACAAAGAGAAAAUCUUGAAAGCAGCUAGGGAAAAGAAACAAAUAACAUACAAGGGAACCCCAAUCAGUUUAUUGGCAGAUUUUUCAACAGAAACUCUGCAGGCCAGAAGGGAGUGGCAUGAUAUACUUAAUGUGAUGAAAGGAAAAAUCCUCCAACCAAGAUUACUCUACCCAGCAAGGCUAUCAUUCAGAUUUGAAGAAGAAACCAAAAGCUUCACAGAGAAGCAAAAGCUAAGAGAAUUCAGCAAUGCUAAACCAGCCUUACAACAAAUACUAAAGGAACUUCUCUAGGC